rnacentral:rRNA from 5 species
ACGCAUGGCGACCCCA